AGGGGGAGUGUUGAGAUGAGGUGAUGAGGAGUGGAUACAUUGAUAGAGGAAGAGUAUUGGGAGAAGAUCAAGAAGUGAAGAGAUGAAGCUUUGAGGUUCAAUAGAGUGUAGAGGCUGAGACAGUAACUUUAGAGUUUUACUGUGGUAACUUUAUUUUAACCACAGUAACUACUUGGGAAGUUACCUGAAGUGAUGAGAAGGUAACUUGGUGAAGAGAGGAGGUAGAACUCGUCCAAGGAGUGUGGAGGAUAAGGUUUACCUUUGCUGGAAAGGAUAAGCAACUUUACAGCAUGUGACAGCCUGUCCAAGCAUGUGAAGCAUCUCAGCCUAUUAUUUCUAUUGACUCCACAUGCUUAUAGGUCUAGAUUGAAUACAUUGCACCUAGACAUGAUUGUGAUCUCUUUAUAACUUGUAAUCUCUCAUCUGAAUCAAUUAAUGGAGUUUUGAGUAUUCUCUCUUGUUCUUUAUUCUCUUAGUCUCUCUUAAAUCUCCAAAUC
rnacentral:lncRNA from 1 species